rnacentral:lncRNA from 1 species
AGGGCUCAGCCUGUAGGGCUCCGCAGAACUGAGCGAUCCCUGAUGCCUGGGCUGCAUCGCCACUGCCGGUAACUAUUGGAUACACCGACUAGUAAAACAUCCGAGACAUGUUCCGGGGGCAGGAUUCUGGGGACCUGGGAGCAGCCCUUGCUAACCGAAUUGGUUCGGACUCAGAACUGGUAUCCGCUUGCUCCAGGCCGGAGGAUACAGAAGGAAGGCAAGCUGAGUUCUUGGACCAGCUUUUCCCAGGGGACUGGGCGGGGCAGGCUCCGGGCCACGGAAGCGAUAACCAACCUGCAGUGAAACCCUGAGAAGGGGCUGGAGAAACCAGCUCGACGCAGGAACGCUCCCCAGCCCGCGUCGCGGCCAGCCUCCCGGCCUUGCACUUCCUCCCAGGCCCAACAGGGCGGCGAAACUCCCGGGACCCCAGCCGAAUUCCUCCGGGAGGCGACAUUAGGGCGGGCAGCAUCAGGCACCGAGCCAAACCCAACCUAGGCUCAAAAUGCCCCCCGCUUUCUUCCCGCCCCGGGAACCGCACUGGAUGCGGUGCACAUGGUACUGAGGGCCCCGUCCCCUGGCACCUCGCCGGCAUCCCCGCCAAAAGGCCAAGGAAGUCAGGAAUUCACAGUGCCGCGUCAUCCCCGAAGGCCACAGCCACGACGUGGCCUCUGCUUGCCCCUCCGGCCGCCCACAAAACUGGGUGCUAGAACUGUUGGCCCUCCGGCACCCGCUCCACCUUCUCCCUGGCCCAGCACUGGCUCCGCCCGGCCCCGCCCCGCACACUCACCUGCGCCGGCUCCGGGCUGGGCUCACCGCCGCCUCCCAGCUCUGCUCCGAGUCCACACCCGAGGAACUAGGCAAAAAAAGGGCCCUCGUUUGGAGCGGGCCCAAUGGACAGAACUUGAGGCGUGCCCAGGUUGAGCCGAGAGCGGCGCCCCAAAUCACCAGGACCUUGGCGGGAGGAGGUGGCGCCGGAGCGCGGAGCCCAGCGGGGGAACAAAGAGGAGCCGGGAUGGGGCCGCGCGCUUCCUGGGUGUCGGGUGACAGGUCUGCAGGGGAAGGCCCCGGCCGAGCCACCUGAGGAGGAGCCUCUUCCACGCAGCAGGCGGGGUAGGGCUGAAUGGUCACCGAGCCCCAGAGGCAGACGAAAGGGGUGCACCAGGUGUGACGAUCGUGUUCAAGGAAGGAGGCUAGCAGGCUCCGGCGCCGAGACCCGGGGGCUCGACGGAGUGCAGAGAUAAUGACUCCGGGAGGGUUUUACCGCCCCCAGCGCCCCGCCCGCCCCCCGCGCCGCGCCAUUGGCUCAGGUGCUGUGGGGCGGGGGAGGGACGGGAGGCGGACCGAAGAUGAUUCACCUUGAAUGUUGCUCCGGUUGGUGCGCGUCGUAGGGCACGCCCGACCGGGACUGCGGAUACGUCGCGAGCCCCGCCUGUUCGCCGAACCCAGCUGGGUUUGGCCCCUAAGGGGUCCCGCUGCCCACUCGCUGUUCUAGCCUCCUACCUUGGGCUGGGGUGCCGCCGGCCGAGGUGUGCCCCGAUGCCCUACCAUCCCACCUCCCUCUGAACCCCUUGCUAGCCAAGGUGUGUGUAGCACAGCAAACUUGGAAAUCCGACUCUGGGCUGGGGGAGGGGAAGUGCGUUUGGAGGCCAGGAGUACUGUGGGACCACACUAGACGGUACUCUGCAGCCGGAGAACUGGCCACAGUCUGUUCUGCCUCGGUGGGAGCACCCUGGCCCGAAGGUAGAGAGUUGGAGUGGGCACCAGAGGCUCGCCACUCGUCCUAACCCACCUUUGCCUAGCCCUGAAGCCUCACAGGUGUCUGGCCGCCGCCGCCGCAGGGAACAAAGACCGCCUGUCCCGGAAGGGGGAGGGGAAGGGAAGCCACCCCCAGACCCCUUCCCAUCUCCCUUCCUGCCCCUCCACUGCCGCAGUGGCUCCCCCGGGAGGGGGCGGGGCCAUCUGGAACGAGGACGGGGAUUAGAUCCCUCGGAACCUUCUUAGCUAGGAUGCCACCCCGGAGCCUCUGGGGAGGAGCAGAGUUAAGGUACACCCUAGCUGUCUCGUUUGAAGUGGCCUCUUCCUUCUCCCCAGCAUCCUGAGACCAGAGAGUGCGCACAUCCCCCUCCCCUGCUUUGAGCGCCCUCCCAUUCCCUGCCGCGCCCGGCUGCCCCAGACGGCAACCACAGUUCAAAACCAGAUUAAAAUAAAACGUUAAUCCGCCUUCCUCCCUUUUA